UAAAAAGGUGGAUCGACUAAAAUCGCCACUUCCUGUGGCAUCGUCGAUCGACCCCACGUCGUGUAGG
rfam:Halobacillus halophilus DSM 2266 complete genome